AUGCAUCAGAGACCUGGGCAGGGGCUGGAAUUCAUCGCCAGCAUCUACUACGGCAGUGGGGGUUACACCUUCUACGCGCCGUCGCUGCUGGAGUGCGGGGGGGACCUCCAGCCCCCCGGGGGGUCCCUGCGCCUCCUCUGCCGAGGGUCCGGGUUCAUUUUCGGGGAUUAUGGAAUGUACUGGAUCCGCCAGAGACCCGGGCAGGCUUUGGAAUACGUCGCAGGACUCCACUACAAUAGUGCCAACACCAUCUACGCGCCAUCGGUCAAGGGCCGGGUCACGAUCUCCAGGGACAACGGGCAGAGCUCGGUGACGCUGACCAUGAACAACCUCAAGGACGAGGAUUCCGCCGUUUAUUUCUGCGCCAAGUGUGCUGCUAAUAAUUACCCUGAACAUGCUGCUCGGUCACGGCCGCCCGGAGCCUUGCGGGACAAAGGGCAGAUGGGGAUGAAGCCAAAGCUCAACCCUUGA